AGUGGCGGACGGGUGAGUAAUGCUUGGGAACUUGCCUUUGCGAGGGGGAUAACAGUUGGAAACGACUGCUAAUACCGCAUAAUGUCUUCGGACCAAACGGGGCUUCGGCUCCGGCGCAAAGAGAGGCCCAAGUGAGAUUAGCUAGUUGGUAAGGUAAAGGCUUACCAAGGCGACGAUCUCUAGCUGUUCUGAGAGGAAGAUCAGCCACACUGGGACUGAGACACGGCCCAGACUCCUACGGGAGGCAGCAGUGGGGAAUAUUGCACAAUGGGGGAAACCCUGAUGCAGCCAUGCCGCGUGUGUGAAGAAGGCCUUCGGGUUGUAAAGCACUUUCAGUUGUGAGGAAAAGUUAGUAGUUAAUACCUGCUAGCCGUGACGUUAACAACAGAAGAAGCACCGGCUAACUCCGUGCCAGCAGCCGCGGUAAUACGGAGGGUGCGAGCGUUAAUCGGAAUUACUGGGCGUAAAGCGCACGCAGGCGGUUUGUUAAGCUAGAUGUGAAAGCCCCGGGCUCAACCUGGGAUGGUCAUUUAGAACUGGCAGACUAGAGUCUUGAGAGGGGAGUGGAAUUCCAGGUGUAGCGGUGAAAUGCGUAGAUAUCUGGAGGAACAUCAGUGGCGAAAGGCGACUCCCUGGCCAAAGACUGACGCUCAUGUGCGAAAGUGUGGGUAGCGAACAGGAUUAGAUACCCUGG
rnacentral:rRNA from 1 species